UGUAAAGAUGCUAAAAGUCUGAGUCCACUACAACAAAUUAGGGAUUCACCAGCGUUCUUUUUAUGACCGCUGGUGUUAGUUAAUAAUUACUAGCGUUCACUGGUAAUGUACUUUGACAAGUGUCCUCUAAACGAAUGCUGGUAAUUAUGUACUUUUACCAACGUUCCCUGAACGAAUGCUAACUAUUAUCUCAUCUGACAUUUCAAAAUUGAAGCCCUAGUUUCUCUUCAGGCCAUCUGUCCUCUGCUCUAUCUCCAUCUCUUCAGGCCGUCUUCCACCAUGAACCUGUUCGUCGAAUAAAGAGACGGGGAGAGAAAGGCAUAUCACAAACUCUCUCUUCGUUGAUCUCCAUAUAUCUAUAGGGACUCAUCUAUACUAUUUUGAUGUUAGAUUUGGGCGAGAGGAGUUCAAUUUUUGAAGAGGAUACCUACAAACAGGUUAAGGAUUUCAAUUUUGUUGAUGUAUUUACAAAAUUAAGGUUAGGGCUUUGAUGUGUAGUACAAAAUUGGGGUUAGGGUGGGGCGGUGAUGCCGGUGAACUAGGUGUGGCAAGGCAUGAGUUUCAGUGAAGCUCUAGUAUUCUGGCAAGGUAAGAGUUUCAGUCGGCGAAUCUGAAUUCGAAAGGAACCCUAGAUCUGUUGGGAGGACAGAGCACCGGUGGCGCCGGAGGAGGAGACUCGAGGAUUAAGAAGAGAAAUGUAAGAUUCUUCUACCUAUUUCUAUUUUUGUUGGUCUAAGUUACGAUUUUUAGAUCUUUUUCAUUUUCUAUGUGGUUCCAGUCUAACAUAUUUUAUUUUAUUUUUAGUAUUAUUUAUUUUUUUAUCGAUAGCAUUUAUACAAAUUUCACACUUAUGUAUUUUGGGAUUUAAUUUUGGAAUGAGGUUUUUGGGAAUUUCACGUUAUAUAUGAUGCUUUAUGUUCAAAAUUUUAGAAAAUUGGAUGACUGUGCUUGCAUAUAUUUCGAAAUUUUAAUGGGGUUGUGACUUAUGACUAUGGAUGAUUGUGUUUGUGAAUCUGUUAUAGGCUGUGAAGUGGUGAGUUUUGAUACUCCGUGUCUCAAAUUUUGAAUAUAUAAUAUAUCUAUAUAUAUAUAUACAUGUGUUCUAUGUUCAAACUUGGUGAAGAAAAUUCUAAAUGCAUGUAUAUAAUUUUGUGUUUGGAAUAUAUAUGAUAGGCUGUGGUUGUGAUAAGCUGUGUUGAUAUUGAUAAAUCUUGUUUUGGGGGUUUGGAUUUUCAUGAGAACAUUUGGGUUGAACAAAUUUUGACUGUUUUUGGCAUGUAUAUAUAUCUGUGAUUGUGAAACUUUGUAGAACUAUGACUGAGAUGAUGUCUAUAGGAGGAAUUUUGAAAUGCCUUUGAAACUGUUAUAGGUUGAGAAUGGAUUGAAGAAUUUGAGAUGAUAUAUAUAUUUGUUGAAAAUCCAUGUGUAUUUCAUCACAAUCCAUAUUGCCUUGUGUUCAUUUUUGUGUUGACGGACUUUGAUUGUUUAAGGAAUUUAAUACAUACAUGUGGGAUUUGUUACUUUGGGAAGAUUUUUGGAAAAUUUUUGACUGAGAUGCAUAGAUUUCAAUUUGUGGAAGGGCUGUGAUUGUUGAUUUCCAUUUAUUGUUUGAUCUUUGAUAGGUUAUUACUGUGAUGCAUCUAUGUGGCUUAAAAUCUCAAAAUCUUUAAAGGGGCUGUGAAUUAACUCCAUGGAUUAUUGUGAUGCAUAUGUGAUUUAAUUUCUGAAAUAUUGUUGGGGCUAUUACUGUAUGAAUUUCUGUCUUCUGUGAAAUAGAUGUCAUUCAAUAGGUUUUCAAGGGUAAGUAAAAUCUACAGUAUAUCAUUUUAAUAAUAUAAUUUUUUUUAAGGCUUGUGCGACAGACUUGUGAGACAUGCUAUGAUGGUUUAUUGUGAUAUUAUAUUAUUUUGCUUUAGAGAGAAACCUUACAUAGUGAGGACUAUCUAUAGUGGGAUAUUUUAUAGUUGGAUUUUUAUUUAGUUCUAGAUAUCAGUUGGUUUAUUUUAUGUUGACAUGGGUUGUGAUUAUUAUUAGUCGUGGUAUGUUGAGAUAUUGAUGAGACAACAUGUUGGUAUUCAUGUUUUUUGGGUUAUGUAUGUGAUUGAAUGUUGAAACGAUGAGUGAAAGGCCAAGAGUGCCUUUGACCUCAAGUUAGAAGCGUAACAGUUUCUCUCAGCAUCAACAAAAUAAGCAGAUGAGCUGCCCUGCAAUGGGUCAAUUGCUCUCACACACACUCUAUUACAAACACUUAUUCCCUUAUUAUUCUUUUAAUGUUCUAGGUGGCCACGAUAAUGAAGGUAAAAUGCUAUAGGCUUUUUUUGAUGCAGUUUUUAGCCACCUAUUUUAUUGUAACAUCACAUAUUUCUUUCAAAUACUUAAGACAAGGGUUGUGUUUUCACAUAUGAUGUCGUUGGAUCCUAUGAGAGAGUUGGAUACAGUUCCCAAAGUUCUAGUUCCACACUAAUCAUGCCUUUUCUGGAAUUCCAACUAAAGUAGCCCUCUUUUGUUACCUGCCAAGGAUGCAGUUACUCCACUUUUAGAAUCAGAAGCAAUUGAUUUGGUGAAGACCUGUUUUGCAUCUACAACGAAGAGGGAUAUAUACACUAUAAGUGUCUGCCUCUUCAGUUUUCAGCCUUCCUGUAUGAAUUUAAAAAUUGAAGUUUAUGCCUAAACUCUAAAAAUUCCAAAGCCAUACAUCAAGACAUAUAGUAGAAUGUCUUUCUACGCGUAGUAAUUUUUACCAGCAGAUCUAUAAAUUGUUCUUGAAUGAAAAUAAGAAUGUUUACUGCAUAGAUAUCAAUAGUUCUACAUAUAUUGUCAAUUUUCAUAGCCUUCACUUUUGCUCCUUUUCUUCUCUUCACCCUUAUCUUCCCACCCCUAUGCAUGCUCACUUUUCAGGAAAAAGCUUUACUUUUGAGCAAAAUUUUCAAUUUUCAAUUAAUAAGCUCAAAUUCCAUGAGCUAUAGAGGUCAGAUACAAACUAUAAGAAGGAACAAGUAAAGAACAAGACAAAUAACAAAUCUUUUUUUUUUUUUUUUUUUCCUUCAAAAAUCAUCUCUGAAUUAUCUAUUUCAUGACAUAUAUACGAGUUUUUCUCAGCUUUGCAAUGCCUAUUUUAAGUUACUCGGGACUAAAGAUAUAUUAUCCAAAUGUGCUUUGCUGUGCCUUUUCAUUUCAAUUCUGUAACAUCUACAGUAUAUCAUUUUAAUAAGAUAAAUUUUUAUUUUUUAUUUUGAUUAAAUUUCAAAAUUUGUAGUUAUUUGGUCAGCUGAAUUUGUCAUAGCCUUACAAGUUCAAGGGUAGCAGCACAUGCCAAAAGGAUUCCAAAGCACACGUGUCAUAAGCUGAUUGGGCGAAGCAAACGUGAGAUGCACAAGUGCAGUCAAGCCUGUUCUAAAGAACCUAAUGGUGUUGGAAAAUGCACUUAUCUCCAAAACAUGUCAAAUCAGCUGAAUUAGAGCAUUGGAGGAAGCAAUCUAAAGUUUAGUGGAAGAAAGGAGCAAAGUGGAAGUAAAGUGUGAAAAAGUCAUCUUCGAUCAAUCGAACCAAGCUAUGAUCGAUUGCAUUGCGAUCAUUCCAAUCAUGCCAUGAUGGAUCGAAACCCUUGUCCUUAUCCUCAGAAAAAUUUCCUAUUCGAUCGAUCAAACCUUUCAUUCGAUCAAUCGAACCUUUUGAUCUUAUCCUCAUAACUACUUUUGUCAUUUUCCCAUAAAUAUCUCAGCCUUUGUCCUUAUCCAAAUAAUUGCGCCACCUUACUUCGAUCAAUCAGAGCAACCAUGUGAUCGAUCGAACAACCUCAAAAUGCGUGCAGAACAGAUUUCAAGCUGAAUUGAAGGUGUGCUCGUGGUGGAAUCAUUUGGAGGUCCUAGUGCAUGAGGUUUAACCAAUGGUUGAAGGUAGCAAGCUGAAAAAUCUGUUUUGUGGACCGAAAAUUUGGGGCGAUUUCAUUUCGAUGGUAAUUGGGAUUUUCAUUCCAAUUGAGGUACAGGACUCCGGAUUUGAAGAUUCCAUUGCUCCUUGGAUGGCUUUCAGUUUCUAUGUUUUUAUUUUAUGCAAGUGUUAGCAUAAGAUGCCUCUUUGUAGCCCUAUUUGUUUAAACUUGUAUUCGUUGAUUCGUAUAUGUAAAGUGUACGUAAGUGCACUCUUUUCAAUGUAUUUAACAUGUAUGAGAUGAGGCCGGAGGCCAAUGACAUGUAUCUCAUUUUCUAUGUACUUUUGUUUUUAAAGUUUAUUAUGAAAAUAUUGAAAAAUGUUAAGUCAUUACUUCAUAA